UAAACAGAGGGCAAGAAAUAGCCAGCAAUUGUACAGUUGUUAGGGCUGAGAAUGUAGAAUGUAUCCAGAGGUGGGAACCAUAGUAAAGGGGAAAAUCUGCCUGUUGGAGAAGCAAUCUGGAUGGAAUCUUGGCCUUGGGUUUCCAGACUGCUGCCAGGACAACCUGACUCGCUAAGUACUCGCUGAAGGCCUGCUGGCCCAGGGAGCACAGCUGAGUUACCUGGCUAGUUCAUACAUGCCAGUACUGGCUGUGAAGAGGGCACAGGACUGGAGUUGGCUCAGGUCUAGUCCUGCUUUGCCCUCCCCUAGCUCCACAGCCUCCCAAGUUACGGUUUUCCUGACUUUAAAAUCAAGGGGCUAGACCAGAAGAUUCCUGUGAUUCUGAAUGUGCUUCCUCUGGAAUUUCUGGGUUUUUUCCUGGAGCCCAGCAGGGUUGUUGUAUUGCCGAAGAAGUCUUGGUGGAGUCUAGCCUGAAGAAGAACUGGGGUGAGAUUUUCAGCAAUCCCCAGGACUUGGGCUGUAACCCGAGGCAUGAAACCUCUGUGUAUCCUAUGUUGCUGUCUUCAUCUUGCUACAUCCUAACUAUAAGAACCAUUUGACCAAUCUCCCCACAAGUUCCCCAGUACCAAGAAAAAGGAAAAGAGCACAAAUUAAUCAAAUAGGGUGGAAGAUGGAAGGCGAAGAGGAUGUGUGAGAGAGCAAGAGAUGAAACUCACAGCCUUCAGCCCUUUUAUAGUAAGCAUUAAUCCAUUCUUGAAGAUGAAGCCCUCAUGGCCCGAUCGUCUGUCAAAAGUCUUACUCUUAAUACUGUUGCACUGGGUAUUAAGUUUCUAAUACCUGCCUUUUGGGGAAUAGAUUCAAACUACAGCAAGCACUUUCCUAAAAAGAAAAUCCAAAUGGCUAACAAACAUGAACUGGGUUAGGGUUGUGGCUCAGUGAUGGAGUACUUGCUUAGUAUCUGUAAGACUCUGAAUUCCAUCCUCAGAACUGCAAAAAGAAAAACAAAACAAAAACAUGCUCAACCUCAUUACUAAUCAGAGAAAUACAAAUCAAUGCCCCUAGAGAUGCCAUUGCUCCCUCAUCAGAUUGGUGAAAUUUAAAAGUCUGAUGGUAUCAGAUGUUGGUGAGUACCUGGAUCAAUGGAAACUUGCAAAUGAUAUAAAUUAGUAUGACCACUUUGAAUAACAGUUUAGCAUUACAAACUGGAAGAUUUACCUUGAAUUUUGACUUCCAGGUAUAAAUUCUGGAGAAACUUCAACAUGUGCAUCAGAUGGAAUAUGCUAAAAGAAUUUUCUUUACUAGGAUGUCAUAACAGUCCCAAGCUGGAAAUAACGUGAAUGUUCACUAACAGUAGAAUGGGUUAACUGGCAUAUUCUACAAUGGAAUACUAUACAACAAAAAAUUUAAAUGAACUGAAGUUAUAUGAGAUUAAUCUUUGGAAAUAAUGAAAGCUCAAAAGAAUAUAUCCAAUCUGAUUUUCUCCACAUAAUGUUCAAAAACAGAGAAAACCAUAUUGUUUAGGGAGCCAUACUUUGGUGGUUAAAUUCCUAGAAAAGUGAGGAAGUGCUUUUUAGAAAACAUCCUCUUUGGAGGAGGGUUGAUAUGAUCAGGAAGAGGCACAUCUGAAAGCAGGGUAACAAAGAUGCUUGAGCUAUUUUACUUGUUCACCUGGGUGGUGGGUAACUCAGGUGUCUAUUUGAAAAUUUGUUAAGCUAUACUCCUAUGUUGAAUGCACUCUGGAUCCAUGAUGUAUUUCACAAUAAAAGAAGUUAAAAAAUGGCAAUGCUUAACUGUUAUAUUUGAAAGUUUUGUGUCUUGUAGCAAUGUAAACUCCUCCUCCAUCUGCCUUCUGAAAUCUUCCCUUAAGUCUACCAUCUGGGUCUCCAAGGCUCAGAGUCCUAAGUUGCCAUCUAGGUUACAAUGAUACUCGAUUAAACAGAUAAUACUGUGCUGUAUGGACAGCAGGGAUGAGAAAAUAGUCAAAGAUAUACUAGUGAAUUUUUUUUGUACUGGGGAUUGAACCCAGGGCCUUUCACAUGCUAGGUAAGUACUCUACCACUCAGCUACCUCCCAUGUCCCCAAAGGUAUACUAGAAAAUGAUGGGGCCAGGACUGGAAUCAGAAAGCCCAGGUACUUCUCUUCCAGACUGAAGAUCUUUUUUCUUGCUUGCUUGUUGUCAUUCAAGAGAGAGAUGCCUUUGAAGAUGCUUUAAAAAACUACUGGAUAAGCCAAGUGUGGCGGUGCAUGCUUAUAGGCCUAGCUACUGGGGAGGAAGAGGUAGGAGAAUCAUGAGUUGGAGGCCAAUCCCAGCAACAUAGCAAGAGCCUGUCUCAAGUGAACAAAUGGAAACAUUGGAUUACCUGGGCGCAGUGAUGUGUACCUGCAGUCCCAGUUAGGCUGAAUCAGGUGGAUGGCUUGAACCCAGGAGUUGGAUGCCAGCCUGGGCAACAGAGUGACAUCCUGUCUCAAAUAGCAACGACCAAAACUGAGCCUUAAGGAAGAAAGAGGGAGGCACAUGCACAUAUCUCUAGUCUUUCCUCUGUGUUCUAAAAUUUGGUUGACUCUGUUGCAGUGUGCCAUACUCUAGGAAACUUCAGAAAAAGGUAAGGUCCAGAAGUCUGAACUAGAGCCCUUCAAUCAAAGCUGUGUGAUUGAAAUCUGCAGAAAAGGACCUGAAGGCCAUAUGGACUGAGGUGUGCAUUUGCUACUUUCCACAUUGUUUGCAACCAUUUCUGUUCAGUGGUUGGUGUUAAACAUCCCUAUCCCCAUUUUUUUGCUUCCUGCUCCCUUAUCUAUUCUGUUUUCCAAACACCUUCAUAGCUUCCAGAUUCUGAUACCAGAUAUUGAUGUGUUGCCCUGGGAUCAUCCAAGAUGAUAGCAUAGUAUCUGUUUGUCCUAAUUCUCUCUCAUAAUUGAGCCCAUUUCUAGUAGUUGUCAUAAUAAACAUGAGGCUACUUUAGAAGUGUAUUCUGACAUCAGCCAUGUUCCUGGGACUUCAUGGGUCUUCAGACCUACAUUCAUUACUGUGUAAUAGCUGUCUCAAAUUAUAUUGCUUCCUGGCAGCUACAAUUCUGUGUCAGUGAGAAACAUGAAAGUUCUUUGACUACUUAAUUUUCAAUUCUGUGGAACUGGUUCCUGGUGAAAUAAACAGCUUGCUGCAGUGAGACCUAGAAUAUAAUUUCCUCUCUAGGCCACUAACAUCUGUACAAACUGCCAGUGAUAUGUAAAUGCUUUUCUCCAUUGUUGUUACCUUAAAAGAAUUUUUUCUUGAGAUCAGGUUUUGACUAUUAAGGUUUUUUCCACCCAGACAUAAAGGUAGGUAAUCAUACUAAUCUGUCGGUUUAUCUGUGUUCUUCCUUCCGAGGAACCAAAGAAACUUAUGAAACA